rnacentral:rRNA from 1 species
UGGGGAAUAUUGGGCAAUGGGCGAAAGCCUGACCCAGCAACGCCGCGUGAGGGAAGAAGGUUUUCGGAUUGUAAACCUCUGUCCUAAGUGACGAAGGAAGUGACGGUAGCUUAGGAGGAAGCCCCGGCUAACUACGUGCCAGCAGCCGCGGUAAUACGUAGGGGGCGAGCGUUGUUCGGAAUGACUGGGCGUAAAGGGCGCGUAGGCGGCCGAUCAAGUUGGGAGUGAAAUUCCUGCUUUCAAGGUGGGAACUGCUUUCAAAACUGGUUGGCUUGAGUGCGGAAGAGGUAAGUGGAAUUCCCAGUGUAGCGGUGAAAUGCGUAGGGAUUGGGAGGAACACCAGUGGCGAAGGCGACUUACUGGGCCGUAACUGACGCUCAAGCACGAAAGCGUGGGGAUCAAACA